rnacentral:rRNA from 1 species
UACGAAGGGGGCUAGCGUUGCUCGGAAUCACUGGGCGUAAAGGGUGCGUAGGUGGUGAGGUAAGUCGGAUGUGAAAUCUCGGAGCUCAACUCCGAAAUGGCAUUGGAAACUACCUCGCUCGAGGAUUGGAGGGGGGACUGGAAUACUUGGUGUAGCAGUGAAAUGCGUAGAUAUCAAGUGGAACACCGGUGGCGAAGGCGAGUCCCUGGACAAUUCCUGACACUGAGGCACGAAAGCUAGGGGAGCAAACAGG